AUUGAACGCUGGCGGCCGGCCUAACACAUGCAAGUCGAACGAGUGGCGGACGGGUGAGUAAUGUCUGGGAAACUGCCCGUUGGAGGGGGAUAACUACUGGAAACGGUUGCUAAUACCGCAUACCAUCGGAUGUGCCUAGAUGGGAUUAGCUAGUAGGUGGGGUAACGGCUAACCUAGGCGACGAUCCCUAGCUGGUCGGAGAGGAGGACCAGCCACACUGGAACUGAGACACGGUCCAGAAUCCUACGGGAGGCAGCAGUGGGGAAUAGUGCACAAUGGGCGCAAGCCUGAUGCAGCCAUGCCGCGUGUAUGAAGAAGGCCUUCGGGUUGUAAAGUACUUUCAGCGAGGAGGCGUUACUCGCAGAAGAAGCACCGGCUAACUCCGUGCCAGCAGCCGCGGUAAUAC
rnacentral:rRNA from 1 species